UUUUCUUUUUUUUCCCCUUUUUUUGUUACCAUUUGUAACAAUUAAAUUAUAAAACCAUUUUUAAAAAAUGAGAUUUUUCAUUUUACAUUGACUAAUCUAAUUUUACAAUUUUCCACACUGCUUCUUUAACAUAUUAAAUUGAGGAGUGUCAAGCUGUAUCGUGGGAGGAUUCACUCACCACACAAAGAGACUGAGAGUCUCUAGAUUUCACUGAACAACCGAAGAAAAUGGUUUGCAUGUUUGUUUUGUUCUCUUUGUACUGGUGGCGUUUGACUGGUGUGUUUGGUGAGUCAGUGUCAGUGAUGGAAGGAGAUUCUGUCACUCUACACACUGUUACUGCAAUACAUGAAGAUGAAGACAUACUGUGGAAAUUUGGAAAUGAAAAGUCUCUGAUAGCUAAACUCAAGAGACAGAACCAAAUCUUCCCUGAUGAGAGAUUCAGAGACAGACUGAAGCUGGACAGACAGACUGGAUCUCUGAUCAUCACAAACAUCACAACUCAACAAGCUGGAAUCUAUGAAGUAAAGAUCAGUGGACUGAAAUGAACAACAAAAUCAUUUAGUGUUUCUGUCUAUGCUCGUCUGCCCACACCAAAAAUUACCAGCUAUCCUUUAUCACCACAGCAGAAUUGUUCAUUGUUGUGUUCAGUGGUGAAUGUGAGUCAUGUGACUCUCUCCUGGUACAAAGGAAACAGUUUAUUGUCUAGCAUCAGUGUGUCUGAUCUCAGCAUCAGUCUCUCUCUACCUCUGGAGGUGGAAUAUCAGGAUAAAAACAGCUACAGCUGUGUGAUCAACAAUCCCAUCAGAAACCAGACCACACAUCUGGACAUCAGUCAACUCUGUCAUAUUCUUUCAGAUCAGAGCCUACCCUUGUUUUACAUUUUGCUGAUUUCUGCUGCUGGAUCUCUGUUGAUUGUAACUGCAGUUGUGAUGUGCUGCAGGAAAUGUAGAAAAACAGCUCAGGGAUUCAAUUAUUACAAUUAUUAACUACGAACAUUACAAUUAAUGCAUUUGUAACAUGUACACACACACACACACACACACACACAUAUAUAUAUAUAGACAAGCUGCAACAAUCUUUGCUGUUGCUUUUGUGUGAAAG
ensembl:lncRNA